AGGACGAACGCUGGCGGCGUGCUUAACACAUGCAAGUCGAGCGGUAAGGCCCUUUCGGGGGUACACGAGCGGCGAACGGGUGAGUAACACGUGGGUGACCUGCCCUUAGCUCUGGGAUAAGCCUGGGAAACUGGGUCUAAUACCGGAUAUGACCUCGCGAUGCAUGUCGUGGGGUGGAAAGCCUUGUGCGGCUAGGGAUGGGCCCGCGGCCUAUCAGCUUGUUGGUGGGGUGAUGGCCUACCAAGGCGACGAC
rnacentral:rRNA from 1 species